AUUAUAUACUAUGGGUUAAUGUGUUAAUAAUCACCUAACUUAGACCUUGAAUCUACACCCCCUAAUCUUCUAAAUCAUCGACCCAUAAUCCAUAACCCUUCUAAAGACACAAUGUGAUUUAUUCCCAUUGCUCUGCAUGUCAAAGUGAAUAAAUUCAACCAAGCUUGGGUAAGCGACGAGAGUAACUAUGACUAUCUUAAGGUAGCUGUAUGCCUCGUCAUAUAAUUAGUGACGCACAUGAAUGGAUCAUUAACGAGAUUCCCCACUGUCCCUAGCUACUAUAUUCUAUAGAAACCACAUCCAAGGGAAUGGGAUUGGCAGAAUUAGCGGGGAAAGAAGACCCUCAUGUUGAGCUUGACUCUAGUCCUAACCCAUUCAUAGUUUGGGGA
rfam:Picea glauca, whole genome shotgun sequence.